AGACAAGGUCUCACUAUGUUUCCCAGGCUAGUCUUGAACUCCCAGGCUCAAACAAUUCUCCUGUCUCAUCAUCCCAAAGUGCCAGGAUUACAGAGCACAUGAGCCUGCAAGGCCCAGAUCAACACCUGACUCAGACAGAACACCAGGGCAGUGCACAGCUGGGAUUUCAGUCUCUGCUCUCAGCUCCCAGGUCCACUGGCUCUACUGAGGGCACCUACACUCUGCAGCCAGGCGGCCUGGAUUGAACGCCCUGCCCAGGACCCACACACAGGCACUGCAGCAGCGACAGGAGGAGGGGGCGCUGGGAACAGGAAGGACACCACCGCUUGGCCUCCGGCACCGGAGGGACAACCUGGAGGGCUCCGGGAGCACCGCAAAGGUCCAAGCGGAGCCAAUCCUCACAAGCCCAGGGAAGGGCAACGUGACAGGCCGGCGCGACAGCCCCACCGCCGCGAAGAGGGGCUGCCCAAAAGGCAACAGCCAUAGGAGAUGAGCAGGGGUGCCUACUGCGUCGGAGAACUCAUCUCCCCAACCCCACCGAUGCCACAAGGUAGAGGGCGAGGACAGCGAGGUCGGCCGGAUUCCGCACCCCUGCCUCCAACCACCGCCCAUGGGCGGGGAGGAGAGACUACCGGCCGCAAGCAGAACGCAGAACGAGAAGAGCGGUCCCGUUAGCCAUGAAUGUGUCCCUCAUCUGUACCGCCUCCGGCCCCGCCCGGGAGAACGCGACGUCACCACAUCCAUCACUUGUUCUCUUUCACUCUUCCCGUUCUUUCCUUUUCCCAGUAUAUUUAUAUAGUAAUUAUGUUUAAUUCAGCCACUCCUUGUUUUUUUCCGUGACUCAUCUUCUCAUAUGUCAACUUGACUACUUUUCACUUGCUUCGUAGUAUUUGUUCUUCCUCAAGUUAAUACUUGCCUUUGUUUUUGUUUAUGUUCUAGAUAACUCUCAUUAAUUUAACUUUGAUAUCUGUUCCAUUUCUGUGACUCUGUUAAGAAAUUAGAGACUUUGAACUUUCUAUUAAUUUUACUUUCUUGGAAAUGUCCCUCUUGGGCCCUUCUGGCUGCUCCCAUCUGGACUGGAGGCUUCUACCUGUGGGACAGAGUCACCUUCCUAGGAUCUCCCUCCACCACCAUCUGGGGCGGUGCUUUACAUGCAGUGGAGCCACCUGGGGUCCUGACAAAUGCAGACUGAUCAACCUGUCAAGGCUGGGCCUGUGAGCCUUUCUGUCCAGUUUCAUGAGAUGCUGGUUCUGCUGGUUCAUGGAUAAUAGCUGGGGUAGCAAGGAUCUCUCUUUUUGUCUCACAGUUUUCUGCAUCUCUUUUUCAUAGUAAGCACAUGCUAAUAUAUUUUCAAUAAAUUCAUGUGCUCUUUUCCUAAGUUGGUAUCAGAGCUAAUUAUUUUUUUCAUUGCGCCAAAAUCUAUAUUAUAUAAAAUUUGGUAUCGUAACAAUUUUUAAGUAUAGAGUACUAUAAUAUGAACUGUAGCACAUUGUUAUGCAACAGAUCUCUAGAACUUUUCAUCUUGCAAAACUGAAACUCUACGCUGAAAAUCUCCUCAUGAAUCCCCCCAGCCUAACCACUGGCAGCCGCCAUUCUACUUUCAGGUUCUAAGAGUUUAGACGCCGCAUAUAACGAAUUGCGCAGUAUUGGAAUUUCCUUGUGAUUGGCUUAUUACACUUAGCAUUGUUCUCCAGGUUCAUCCAUGUUGCAGCAUGUAACAGAAUUUCCUUCUUUUUAAGGUUGAAUCAUAUUCCAUUGCCUACAUAGACCACAUGUUCUUCAUCUAUUCAUGUGUUGAUGGGUGCUUUGUUUGCUUCCUUGUCUUGGCUAUGGUGAGUAAUGUUGCUGUGAAUACGGGUAUGCAAUGUUUUUCUUUUUUACAGCCUCCCUCAUUUCAGUGGAAUUAAUGUUUUAGUAGCUACUUCUGAUAGCACAUAUUUAAAGUAUUUUUGCAUGCAUCAAUGUGUCCAUUGUUGUUUUGAUUCUCUCCUGGAAGAGGAUGGAAAUGUAUGAAGGUGCUGUUUGGCACAGUAUUUAAUGGUGAAGAAGAGACGGUGUAACUGACCAGUGCUGGGUCUCAGCAUCCUGCAAUUUCAGAACUACUGUGAAUGCAAAAAUAAUUAAAAAAACCAGUGCUGCCCAGAAAGGGGGAGUCAUCCCUAAAUAUGGCGGCCCUGGGACAGCUGGCCUCCCUGCCAGGCCUCUUCCAUGGGGGCCCUUUUCUGCAGUGACUGGGAUUUCUUUCCAUUUCACUCUACCCUGUGUCCUGACCCAAGAGACAAGGCAUGUCUGCAGCUGUGCCCACACUUGGAGUGUGUCAGUACAUUAUAAACACUGGCUCAGUGGUGUUAGUACAUUAUAAACAUUGGCUUAUCAUGGGUUAUUUUAUUAUUUAUUGUGUAUUUUGAUUUCACUUUACUGGCAACACAAUAAACAAUGACAUGAUGACCCUAGCAAUCACAUCCUCUUUCUUGUGUCAAAAAGCACCUUCCAGGAACGUGAGAAGGAGACAGUUUUCGCUACAGUUGAUUAAGGGAGAGCCCGCUAGGCUGGGCAGGAGGAUUUUUACCGGGAACCUGUGCGAUGAGCUGUGACAUCCUUCUCCCCACCUUCAAUCUCAGCCCCAGCAGGCACCUCCUGGGCGCAGAAGCAGUGCAGCGGCGCCACCUGGCGGUCUGCACUCUUCCUUUCCCAGAUCAAGCACAGCCCUGAAAUCCACCUGUCCCUCCUCUGUGCCUGUGAUUUCUUCAGGGGACACCAGCGUGGGUCAACUUUCUUGUAAAGCAGAACAAGCGUGAGAUUGGACCAUGUUACAGGAGGAAUGGUGUCAUCUCUACCUGUGGAGAGAUCCCUGUCACCGUGUUCAGGGGAAGGACCGAGCCUCACUCCCACGCAGAGAGGAGGCUCUGGUUGUAACUGCUCCAGUGGAGAGAUGAGGACCUCCUCCCUCUACACUGAUGGCCAAAGCCUGCAGACUGGGCCAGGCUUCCCCUCAGCUAUGUCCUGUCAGGUUCAUCCAGGACUCAAGAAAUAAACUGUGGACAUUGUCUCCAGCGACGUGGAGCUGAAUGCACACUCAGUAAUGAGACAGCCUUGCCAGGGGUCCUGGGGCUGCCGGUUGUUCUGGGUGCUCAGUGUCCAGAGAGGAGGAUGGGGAGGAGGCUUUGUGCAGAACAGGAACCGUGGAGCUGGAUGCACACUCAGUAAUGAGACAGCCCUGCCAGGGGUCCUGGGGCUGCCGGUUGUUCUGGGUGCUCAGUGUCCAGAGAGGAGGAUGGGGAGGAGGCUUUGUGCAGAACAGGAACCGUGCCCCAUAACUCAUUUUAUUCUGCGUUCGCCUUUUUGUCAUAAAACACAGGUGACAUAAAAGAAAAAAAAUCUUAAAAUGGUGACCUUUAAUCAACAGUAAACACUCUUUAACCAUCAGAAAGAGAGAGAAGUUUGUCAGCUGACCUAGAAGCCCCAUCA